AGGGAAGAGCUCAAAUUUGAAAGCUGGUACCUUCGGUAUCCGCGUUGUAACCUCGAGACACGUUUUCCGUGCGGCGCUAUGGACAAGUUCCUUGGAACAGGACAUCGUAGAGGGUGAAAAUCCCGUACUUGCCAUGGAUGUACCGUGCUUUGCGAUACGUGCUCUAAGAGUCGAGUUGUUUGGGAUUGCAGCUCAAAAUGGGUGGUAGACUCCAUCUAAAGCUAAAUAUCGGGGAGAGACCGAUAGCGAACAAGUACCGUGAGGGAAAGAUGAAAAGCACUUUGGAAAGAGAGUUAAAAGUACGUGAAAUUGUCGAAAGGGAAGCGCUUGAAGUCAGCCAUGCCGCUCAGGACUCAGCCUGGCUUUUGCUUGGUGUAUUUCCUGGGUAGCAAGUCAGCAUUGGUUUGGAUCGUCGGAGAAGCAUAGUUGGAAUGUGGCGCCCUCGGGCGUGUUAUAGCCUUCUAUUGGAUACGACGAUCUGGACCAAGGAACGCAGCGCGCCUUAUGGCGGGUCUUCGGACACCUUCGCGCUUAGGAUGCUGGCGUAAUGGCUUUAAGUGGCCCGUCUU
rnacentral:rRNA from 1 species